rnacentral:rRNA from 1 species
UACAGAGGUCUCAAGCGUUGUUCGGAUUCAUUGGGCGUAAAGGGUGCGUAGGCGGCGCGGUAAGUCGGGUGUGAAAUUUCGAGGCUUAACUUCGAAACUGCAUUCGAUACUGCCGUGCUAGAGGACUGGAGAGGAGACUGGAAUUUACGGUGUAGCGGUGAAAUGCGCAGAUAUCGUAAGGAAGACCAGUGGCGAAGGCGGGUCUCUGGACAGUUCCUGACGCUGAGGCACGAAGGUCAGGGGAGCAAACGGG